rnacentral:ncRNA from 2 species
UGGACUCAUUCUCUCGAUCACUCACUCAACCUGGGUGUGAUGCUUUUUUGAAUCAUCACAACCUCCUUGAGUGAGCGACCGCGGAUUGACUAAAACCA